UAACCAAAGCGCCACUCGUCCGGCCCCAGAAAAAGAUUUUUGAAUGGUAGAUCAGACCCCAAAUGCCUGAAUGCCUGACUCACAUUCUAUCAGUUACAGAAAUGGGUUGGAUCAAAGAUAUAUUGAAGUAUCAAAAUGUUUAAACUUUUCUUACUUUUGAGUACAUGUACUUUAACAAACAGCCAAUAAUUUUCCUAUUCUUCUAUAUUUCCUGCUUUGAACAAAUACAUAAGCAUUUGAAAUAAUUAUCAGUUUGUGUGAACUAGGUUGCAGUAAUGGAGUAGGCUCCAAGAUCAGCUUUGUUAUGAUGUGUGUGAUUCUGAGAAAACUCUUGGACUUCUAAACCGAUAGUUACUGUUAUGUAAAUAGAGAAUUCAAAUCAGAUAGAUAAAAAUCAUUUUCAAUGUUGGUUUUUGUGUUCUCUAGUUCUCUUGUACAUGUCACGUAGAAUAAAGAGAUACUCAGUUUUUCAUUACCUAUUUAUAAUAGCAUAACAUCUUGAGUGACAUUUCAAGAUUUGAUUGCAAAUAAGAUCAUGAGGAAACAGUACACCUGAUCCUAUCAUUAUUUUUUCAGUGUGCAGACCUGGAUGCUUGCUAAGAUGAUGAGUAAAUAAUCGACUUGAAGUUUUUUCUGUCUUCCUAGGGAGAGAAUUGAAUACUUGUUUUGGAUUCUCUCAAAUUCUGAAUUCUUCUGGUUCUUAGACAGCAACUGCAUUUAAAAUUGUUUUCACAGUAGAGGCACAGAUGCCUAAACUGUAAAAUGACAUGAAUUUUCUAAUUCCUAGUUUCUCUGUCUGAGGAAGUAACGAGAAUGCAGGCACUCACAGAUGUCCAGGCGGUUGUGAGUAAGAUACCUAUGCUAAGCAAGCUCACUGUCACCUUUGUCAGCCUGCGACAGUUAUUGUUGGUAAUAAAAACAUGCAAACUAUGAUAUUAUCACCGCUAACCAUAUCAAAUGUGUCAUACGUAUGUUUCGGCCUUCAAAAAUCAAUUGAUUACAUUUCAAGUUCGAAGACUGCAGCCUUAAUAAUGUCUGAGUAAUCAACUUCAGUAUGCUAAGUGUUCUGAUUGAUAACCUUUUUUAUAAUGGUUUGACCCAGAAACAGAUGUCCAGGACCUGGCUCAGCUAAACACUGGGGAUGAGGGCAGCGAAGUUCGUGAUGUCAUGGAGGAUAUGUUACUAAAAAUAGAAUCCAUUUAUAUGCCAGAUGCAGGGGAAGGGCAACCACAGGACUAAAGGAAGACGAGCUGAAACCAUGAAAAAUGUCACGUGGGAUACUUGACUGUGAAAAUUGUCCCAGUAUAGUUUCACAGCUUUUCCGAUGAACAUUGCCAAUCCUUUGUUGAAUGUAUGCUUAAGUAUUUGAUACUAUUGAAAAUUAUAUGUUUUCUGAAAUGUUAUAUUCUGUUUGAGCUGGUAUAUACAGAUAUAUCUGUACAUUGGUAUUUCUCCAGCAACCUUGCUAAAUCUGCUUAUUAAUUCCAAAAGGUAUGUCUAGAUCCCUUUUGAGCUUCAACAUGCACAAUCAGAUCAUUUUUCAGUAGAAGCAGAGUUUUGUGCUCUUUGAAACAUUUUGACUCUUUUUUCCAUAUCUCAUUUUACAACAUUGGACAGAGACACCCAGUACAGUGUGAACAGAAGCGUUAAUAGUGGAUAACCUUUCUCUUAUUUUUGAUAGGAAAUGCAGAAUUUUAACAUUGCGCCAUGUUUACAGUGAAGUAGAGGAAGUUCCACUUCAAUCUAAGUUUGAUAACUAUAUAUCUUAAUAAAAUUAACUUUUCAUCAAAA